CUUACCAUGCAGUCGAGCGGUAAGGCCCUUUCGGGGGUACACGAGCGGCGAACGGGUGAGUAACACGUGGGUGACCUGCCUUCAGCUCUGGGAUAAGCCUGGGAAACUGGGUCUAAUACCGGAUAUGACCUCACGGCGCAUGUUGUGGGGUGGAAAGUGUUAGCGGCUGGAGAUGGGCCCGCGGCCUAUCAGCUUGUUGGUGGGGUGAUGGCCUACCAAGGCGACGACGGGUAGCCGGCCUGAGAGGGCGACCGGCCACACUGGGACUGAGACACGGCCCAGACUCCUACGGGAGGCAGCAGUGGGGAAUCUUGCGCAAUGGGCGAAAGCCUGACGCAGCGACGCCGCGUGAGGGAUGACGGCCUUCGGGUUGUAAACCUCUUUCAGCCUUGACGAAGCGUAAGUGACGGUAGGGGCAGAAGAAGCACCGGCCAACUACGUGCCAGCAGCCGCGGUAAUACGUAGAGUGCAAGCGUUGUCCGGAAUUAUUGGGCGUAAAGAGCUCGUAGGCGGUCUGUCGCGUCGGCUGUGAAAACUCGGGGCUCAACUCCGAGCUUGCAGUCGAUACGGGCAGGCUAGAGUUCGGCAGGGGAGACUGGAAUUCCUGGUGUAGCGGUGAAAUGCGCAGAUAUCACGAGGAACACCGGUGGCGAAGGCGGGUCUCUGGGCCGAUACUGACGCUGAGGAGCGAAAGCGUGGGGAGCGAACAGGAUUAGAUACCCUGGUAGUCCACGCCGUAAACGUUGGGCGCUAGGUGUGGGAUCCCUUCCACGGGUUCCGUGCCGCAGACUAACGCAUUAAGCGCCCCGUUCUGGCGAGUACGGCCGCAUGGCUAAAACUCAAAGGAAUUGACGGGGG
rnacentral:rRNA from 1 species